AGCGCGACGAGAUCCACACCGCGGGUGACCACCAGAUAGUCCCUGAUCGCGAUGCCGUGCCGGUUCUC
rnacentral:sRNA from 2 species